rnacentral:rRNA from 1 species
CCCUUAGAUGUUCUGGGCCGCACGCGCGCUACACUGAUGCAUUCAACAAGCCUAGCCUUGACCGAGAGGUCCGGGUAAUCUUUGAAACUGCAUCGUGAUGGGGCUAGAUUAUUGCAAUUAUUAAUCUUCAACGAGGAAUGCCUAGUAAGCGUGAUUCAUCAAAUCGCGUUGAUUACGUCCCUGCCCUUUGUACACACCGCCCGUCGCUCCUACCGAUUGAAUGUGUUGGUGAGGAGCUCGGAUUGGCAGCAGUUGGUGGUUCGCCACCGGCUAUUGCUGAGAAGUCCUCCAAACCGCNCNAUUUACNGGAAGGAGAANUCGUANCA